rnacentral:rRNA from 1 species
GGGGAAUAUUGGACAAUGGGGGAAACCCUGAUCCAGCGACGCCGCGUGGGUGAUGAAGGCCUUCGGGUUGUAAAGCCCUUUCGUCCACGAUGAUGAUGACAGUAGUGGAAGAAGAAGCUCCGGCUAACUUCGUGCCAGCAGCCGCGGUAAUACGAAGGGGGCUAGCGUUGCUCGGAAUUACUGGGCGUAAAGCGCACGUAGGCGGCCAUAACAGUCAGAUGUGAAAGGCCUGGGCUCAACCCGGGAAUUGCAUUUGAUACUGCAUGGCUAGAGUCCAAGAGAGGGUAGUGGAAUUCCCAGUGUAGAGGUGAAAUUCGUAGAUAUUGGGAAGAACACCAGUGGCGAAGGCGGCUACCUGGCUUGGUACUGACGCUCAGGUGCGAAAGCGUGGGGAGCGAAC